UGCAUCGGCCGAGAAUCGAACCCGGGCUGCCUGCGUGGCAGGAGAGCAUUCUACCACUGAACCACCGAUUC
rnacentral:tRNA from 1 species